rnacentral:rRNA from 1 species
UACGAAGGGUGCAAGCGUUAAUCGGAAUUACUGGGCGUAAAGUGUGCGUAGGCGGUUCGUUAAGUCUGUCGUGAAAUCCCCGGGCUCAACCUGGGAAUGGCGAUGGAUACUGGCGAGCUAGAGUGUGUCAGAGGAUGGUGGAAUUCCCGGUGUAGUGGUGAAAUGCGUAGAGAUCGGGAGGAACAUCAGUGGCGAAGGCGGCCAUCUGGGACAACACUGACGCUGAAGCACGAAAGCGUGGGGAGCAAACAGG